CACCUCCUGACUCCCAAGCGCAGUCUCACCAGCGGGCAGGUCGAGGGCCUCGUGCAGUGUGAAUUACGGGCGCCUCUUCCCUACGGCCAGCCUUCCUCUCUCGGGUAGAAACUACUUCUACACCUGAUCUUACGGAAAUUCUCUUCUGGACAUUUGAAAGCCGGGGAGAGGCCUGGCAGGGUGAUGCCUUCCUCUCUCUGUCACAGCUCCAGGAGGGCCCGUCGGCUCUGCCGUGGCUGAAAUCCAAAGCAUCUCCCAAACACGCACGCCGUGAGCGCUGGAUCCCCGCACCGCCACGUUCAGAGCUGGGGCCCACAGAGGUGAGUGGGUACCGAGGCUGCUCACUCAUCAAUGGGCUAAUACUCCUGCG
rnacentral:lncRNA from 1 species